GGUGGGUGUGAGGGUUAGGGGCUCCUUCUCCUGGGCAGGCAGGGCCCAUUGAUGUGGUGGCUGUGGGAGUGGUAGAGACGCAUGAAGGACAGGAUGGAGUGAGUCAACCACAGUGCUGUCACAUUCCACAGAGCGACCUGGAGAGAAAGAGAAACAUUAUUAUAAGUAUAUAUGAUUAGUAUUAUUAGAGAGAGAGAGAGAGAAGGAGCACGAGGAAGGGGUAGGGGGAAAUAGAGAGAGGAGAGAGAGUACAGAGAGGGAGAGAGAGAAGGAGCACGAGGAAGGGGUAGGGGGAAAUAGAGAGAGGAGAGAGAGAACAGAGAGGGAGAGAGAGAAGGAGCACGAGGAAGGGGUAGGGGGAAAUAGAGAGAGGAGAGAGAGAACAGAGAGGGAGAGAGAGAAGGAGCACGAGGAAGGGGUAGGGGGAAAUAGAGAGAGUACAGAGAGGGAGAGAGAGAAUACUUGACAUUGAGGAAAUUAAAACAACCUCUGUCAACGUGUACAAGUCUGGGACAGUAAUGGUGCAGGGAAUCCUCAUGCAGUUCCAGCAGGACUUUUACGGGAUCAAAGAGAGAGCACAGCAGGAAAAGCUGUCUCUCUGUGACGACUCCCCCAUUCCGACAAGAUCAGGAGGGCGGAAGGUGGAGACAUGGUACAGCUAACAGCACUGAAAGAGGAGGUGAGAAAGCUGAAGUGUGACAGAGAGCAGGACACUCCCCCAGAGAAACCAGCAGAACAGCCCAACUCAGACCCGGACCACAACCUCAACACUAAACAGGGACAGACAACACAGGACGCACCAACCCAACAGACCCCACCCCCUCCUAACAGCCCCCCUGUCAGCUCCCCUGAUAGCUCUCCUGCCAACCUCUACACAUCCACUGAGGACAAACAAAAGCCAGAAAUUGUGCUCCUCAUUGACUCAAAUGGCAAAUAUAUUCAAGAGAAUAAACUUUUUCCCAAACUCAAAGUGGCUAAACUCAUGUGCCAAACACUAGGCACGCCUUAGAGCUGUUGUCAGAGGACAGACUAGGGUCCCCCAGCCACAUUAUAAUUCACACGGGCACAAACGACCUGAGGGCCCAGCAGGAAAGGGUGAAAAAAAAAUGAUUCUACAUUCCCCAACACACAAGGGGUUUUCUCCACCCUGCUACCACCCCCAGGUGGCAAGGGUAGGCAACGAAUCGUCUGUCACACUGAUCCUCAACACUGGGGCCCCUCAGGGGUGUGUACUUAGUCCCCUCCUUUACUCCCUGUUCAUCCACGACUGCGUGGUCAAACGUCACUCCAACACCAUCACUAAGUUUGCUGACAACACAACAGUGGUAGGCCUGAUCACUGACAACUGACAACGAUGAGACAGCCUAUAGGGAGGAGGUCAGAGAACUGGCAGUGUGGUGCCAGGACAACAACCUCUCCCUCAAUGUGAGCAAGACAAAGGACCUGAUCGUGGACUAUAGGAAAAGGCGGGCCGAACAGGCCCCCAUUAACAUCAACGGGGCUGUAGUGGAGCGGGUCGAGAGUUUCAAGUUCCUUGGUGUCCAAAUCACCAACGAUCUAUUAUGGUCCAAACACACCAAGACAGUCAUGAAGAGGGCACGACAAAACCUUUUCCCCCUCAGGAGAAUUAAAAGAUUUGGCAUGGGUCCCCAGAUCCUCAAAAAGUUAUACAGCUGCACCAUCGAGAGCAUCCUGACCGGUUGCAUCACCGCCUGGUAUGGCAACUGCUCGGCAUCUGACGUAAGGCGCUACAGAGGGUAGUGCGUACGGCCCAGUACAUCACUGGGGCCAAGCUUCCUGCCAUCCAGGACCUAUAUAAUAGGCGUGUCAGAGGAAAGCCCAUAAAAUUGUCAGAGACUCCAGUCACCCAGUCAAACAGUCAUAGACUGUUUUCUCUGCUACCGCACGGCAAGCGGUACCGGAGCGCCAAGUCUAGGACCAAACAGCUCCUUAACAGCUUCUACCGCCAAGCCAUAAGACUGCUGAACAAUUAAUAAAAUGGCCACCGAACUAUUACAUUGACCCCCCCCCCCUCCAUUUGUUUUGUACACUGCUGCUACUCGCUGUUUAUUAUCUAUGCAUAGUCCCUUAACCCCUACCUACAUGUACAAAUUACCUCUAACAUGUACCUCCACACACUGACUCGGUACCGGUACCCCUGUAUAUAGUCUCCACACUGACUCGGGUACCGAUACCCCCUGUAUAUAGCCUCCACACUGACUCGGUAUCGGUACCCCCUGUAUAUAGUCUCCACACUGACUCUGUACCGGUACCCUCUGUAUAUAGCCUCCACACUGACUCGGGUACCGAUACCCCCUGUAUAUAGCCUCCACACUGACUCGGUACCGGUACCCCCUGUAUAUAGCCUCCACACUGACUCGGUACCGGUACCCCCUGUAUAUAGCCUCCACACUGACUCGGUACCGGUACCCCCUGUAUAUAGCCUCCACACUGACUCGGUACCGGUACCCCCUGUAUAUCGCCUCGUUGUUAUUGUGUUAUUAGGUUACUUUGUAUUAUUUUUUUUCUUUCGUUUAUUUGUCAAAUAUUUUCUUAACUCUUCUUGAACUGCACUGUUGGUUAAGGGCUUGUAAGUAAGCAUUUCACAGUAAGGUCUACACUUGUAUUCGGCGCAGGUGACAAAUAAAGUUUGAUUUGAUUUGAAAAUACAUUCACCUUGCCACUAUACAGCGGGUGAGUGCAAGAAUUUCCUGGGACUGUGCCUCAAAACCUAAUGUCUACCUGGUCCACCACUCCACCCUGGCCUUGAACGGCCUCCCAACUUUUGUCAGGACCCUAAAGGACGUCACCCUCAACCACAGCCCCAGCACCUCACACAGGAGCAACAGAGCAACGGACACCCCGCCCAGACCAGUGAGACACCUUCCCAGACCUGCAAGACCCCCUCCCGAAGGACCUGCACCGAGAGAAAGCACGCCAAGAGGACCUGCACCCAGACCACAGCUUCACCAACCACACCCCGACCAGCUGAGACCACCCCAAACAAACCCCGGCCACACGCUAUAUAGGCCCUCCCAGAUCAGACCUAUGCCCCUUCUGCCCCUCAUGUCCCCCGCCCCUGCAGCAAGGACCUCAGCAUGACAGCUGCACAUAUGCCCAGGCCAUGAGCAUAGCAACAGGCCCAAUCCCCACUACUGCACCCCCCAAGCCCCAUCCUGUGACCUAAGAGUUAUGUAUCAGAUGCUCAACAUGCUCUGCUCACACCUACUGUGAUGGUCCGGGCAUAAACCACACAAAAACAACACUAGACACUAUGGAACACAAAGCUCUUACGAUCUCAUCCUGGAAUAUACAAGGUCUGCGGUCAUCUGCCUUUGGCCUAAAGAGCAGGAACACAGACUUCAUCAAAGAAAUUGGAAAUACAGACAUUGUCAUCCUACAAGAAACAUGGUAUAAAGGAGAAAGACCCACUGGUUGCCCUCUAGAUUACAGAGAGCUGGUAGUCCCAUCCACCAAACUACCAGGUGUGAAACAGGGAAGAGACUCAGGGGGUAUGCUAAUUUGGUAUAGAGCAGACCUAACCCACUCUAUUAAAUAUGUCAAAACAGGAACAUUUUACAUUUGGCUAGAAAUGAAUAAGGAAAUGAUCUCAACAGAGAAAAAUUUCCUCACGUGUGCUACCUACCAUAUAUCCCCUCAAUAGAAUCCCCAUACUUUAACAAUGACAGAUUCUUCUUUCUAGAGGGGGAGAUCAACAAUUUCCAGGCCAGGGGACAUGCAUUAGUCUGUGGCAACCUAAAUACCAUAACUGGACAAGAACCUGACACCCUCAGCACACAUGGGAACAAACACCUACCUGGAGGUGACAGCAUUCCCUCCCCCAUAUGUCCCCCUAGACACAAUUAUGACAAAACAACCAACAAAAAUGGGUUACAACUCCUGCCGCUCUGUCGCACGCUGGGUCUGUACAUAGUCAAUGGUAGGCUUCGAGGGGACUCCUAUGGCAGGUACACCUAUAGCUCACCCAUUGACAGUAGUACUGUAGAUUACUUUAUCACCUCAACCCAGAGUCUCUCAGAGCGUUCACAGUCAGCCCACUAACACCCCUAUCAGAUCACAGCAAAUCACAGUCUUCCUGAACAGACCAAUACUCAAUCAUUGUCACGCCCUGACCAUAGAGAGCUGCUUAUUCUCUAUGUUGGUUUGGGCGUGACAGUGACUAGGGUGGGUUAUCUAGGUGAAUAAUGAUCUAUGUUGGCCUGGUAUGGUUCCCAAUCAGAGGCAGCUGUUUAUCGUUGUCUCUGAUUGGGGAUCAUAUUUAGGCAGCCAUUGUGCUUUGUGGGAUCUUGACUAUGUUUUUGUGUAGCUGCCUGUGAGCAGUCCAGAACGUCACGUUUCGUUUCUCUUCUGUUUUGUUUGGUGAGUUUCAUGUUUAUUUAACAUGUGGAAUUCUACGCACGCUGCGACUUGGUCCAAUCAUUAUGACGAUCGUGACAAUCAUGAGACAUCAAUGCUAAAGGAACUACACAAUAUUAAGAAAUGCUAUAGAUGGAAGGAAAGUAGUGUAGAAACCUACCAAAAAAGAAUUAGGCAACAAAAAUUCAAGCCUUUUUAGACAACUUUUUUUUUUUUUUUAAGGUCUGAGGCCUUUUGCCUUUUGGUGGGCCGUCAUUGUAAAUAAGAAUUUGUUCUUAACUGACUUUCCCAGUUAAAUAAAGGCUAAAUAAAUACUUUGUUUAUCCAUUUCACUUGCUGUAAACAUAUGUUUCCCAUGCCAAUAAAGCACCUUGAAUUGAA